rnacentral:rRNA from 1 species
GAUGAACGCUAGCUACAGGCUUAACACAUGCAAGUCGCAGGGUAACAUGAGGAAAGCUUGCUUUCCUUGAUGACGACUGGCGCACGGGUGAGUAACGCGUAUCCAACCUUCCCAUAACUACGGGAUAACCCGUUGAAAGACGGCCUAAUACCGUAUGAUAUCGUUUGCUGACAUCAAAUAACGAUUAAAGGUUUAGCGGUUAUGGAUGGGGAUGCGUCUGAUUAGCUUGUUGGCGGGGUAACGGCCCACCAAGGCGACGAUCAGUAGGGGUUCUGAGAGGAAGGUCCCCCACAUUGGAACUGAGACACGGUCCAAACUCCUACGGGAGGCAGCAGUGAGGAAUAUUGGGCAAUGGGCGAGAGCCUGAACCAGCCAAGUAGCGUGCAGGACGACGGCCCUAUGGGUUGUAAACUGCUUUUAUGUGGGGAUAAAGUGCGUGACGUGUCAUGCAUUGCAGGUACCACAUGAAUAAGGACCGGCUAAUUCCGUG